UACGGGGGGGGGCAAGCGUUGUUCGGAAUUACUGGGCGUAAAGGGCUCGUAGGCGGCCAACUAAGUCAGACGUGAAAUCCCUCGGCUUAACCGGGGAACUGCAUCUGAUACUGGAUGGCUUGAGUUCGGGAGAGGGAUGUGGAAUUCCAGGUGUAGCGGUGAAAUGCGUAGAUAUCUGGAGGAACACCGGUGGCGAAGGCGGCAUCCUGGACCGACACUGACGCUGAGGAGCGAAAGCCAGGGGAGCAAAGCAGGG
rnacentral:rRNA from 1 species